rnacentral:rRNA from 1 species
UACGUAGGGCGCAAGCGUUGUCCGGAAUUAUUGGGCGUAAAGAGCGUGUAGGCGGCCAGGUAGGUCGGUUGUGAAAACUGGAGGCUCAACCUUCAGACGUCGACCGAAACCCCCUGGCUAGAGUCCGGAAGAGGAGAGUGGAAUUCCUGGUGUAGCGGUGAAAUGCGCAGAUAUCAGGAAGAACACCCGUGGCGAAGGCGGCUCUCUGGGACGGUACUGACGCUGAGACGCGAAAGCGUGGGGAGCGAACAGG